AUGAAAGGUUGUUGGACAACACUGUUGUGGACGGGAGGAGCGAAAAUUGAACAAAGGAGGAUGAAGGUGAUGAAUUGGAGGAGUAGAGGGUUGGAAGGAAAUGGUGGUGGUGAAUUGAAGGGUUACGGUGAAGUUACCGGUGGUAGUUUAGUGGAGGUUGACGAUGGAUUGGAGAAGGGCGAUUGGGAAGGAACAGUUUGCAGCUAG